rnacentral:rRNA from 1 species
GACGUAGGGCGCGAGCGUUGUCCGGAUUUAUUGGGCGUAAAGAGCUCGUAGGCGGCUUGUCGCGUCGACUGUGAAAUCCCGCGGCUCAACUGCGGGUCUGCAGCCGAUACGGGCAGGCUAGAGUUCGGUAGGGGAGACUGGAAUUCCUGGUGUAGCGGUGAAAUGCGUAGAUAUCUGGAGGAACACCGGUGGCGAAGGCGGCAUCCUGGACCGACACUGACGCUGAGGAGCGAAAGCCAGGGGAGCAAACGGG